UACAGAGGGUGCGAGCGUUAAUCGGAAUUACUGGGCGUAAAGCGUGCGUAGACGGCUAUCUAAGUCGGGUGUGAAAUCCCGGGGCUCAACCCCGGGACUGCAUUCGAUACUGCCGGGCUAGAGGUAGGUAGGGGAGAUCGGAAUUCCUGGUGUAGCGGUGAAAUGCGCAGAUAUCAGGAGGAACACCGGUGGCGAAGGCGGAUCUCUGGGCCUUACCUGACGCUCAGGCGCGAAAGCUAGGGGAGCGAACAGG
rnacentral:rRNA from 1 species